UCACUAUUUGUUCAGUGGUAGAAUUCCUGCCUUUCAUGCGGGAGACCCGGGUUCAAUUCCUGGACAGUGCA
rnacentral:tRNA from 1 species